rnacentral:sRNA from 1 species
AUGGCUGUCGUCAGCUCGUGCCGUGAGGUGUUGCCUUAAGUGGCGCAACGAGCGCAACCCCUGUCCUUAGUUGCCAGCGGAUCAUGCCGGGAACUCUAGGGAGACUGCCGGUGCCAAACCGGAGGAAGGUGGGGAUGACGUCAAGUCAGCAUGCCCCUUAUAUCCAGGGCUGCACGCAUGCUACAAUGCGCGAUACAGAGGGCUGCGAUCCCGUAAGGGGGAGCGAAUCCCAAAAAGUCGCGCUCAGUUCGGAUCGAGGUCUGCAACUCGACCUCGUGAAGUCGGAGUCGCUAGUAAUCGCAGAUCAGCAAUGCUGCGGUGAAUACGUUCCCGGGCCUUGUACACACCGCCCGUCACACCACGAAAGUGGGCAACACCCGAAGCCGGUGGCCUAACCCUUGUGGAGGGAGCCGUCGAAGGUGGGGCUCGCGAUUGGGGUGAAGUCGUAACAAGGUAGCCGUACCGGAAGGUGCGGCUGGAUCACCUCCUUUCUAAGGAGCCUUUGGCACUUCGGGAAGUCCAGUUACAUCCAACCGAAUGGACUUGUUACUACCCGACAAGACUCCAGGUCGAUGCACUGGUUACUCUUUUGACACCCUCCCGAACCACAACGGCUAGUAGUCCCUUUGGGGGCGAACGGGUUGCCGGCUCGGGGGAUCAUCAUCAGGACACACUGCUCAGCUUUGAGGGUGCGAGCCUUCGAGCACCUUGAGAACUUGAGAGCGAGCGCGAGCAUCUACGAGUCAAGUUAGGAAGGGCUCACGGUGGAUGCCUUGGCGCCAGGAGCCGAUGAAGGACGCGUCAGGCUGCGAUAAGCCUCGGGGAGCUGCCGAGAGAGCAUUGAUCCGAGGAUGUCCGAAUGGGGAAACCCGG